CUGGGGCCGACCAUUUGAAAGUCUGCUCUUCUUCCAAAGAGGGUUUGGGGCCCUCCCUGCCUGCUGCUGGACUCUUACGUGUAGGAGAGUGAGUCACCCAAAGAGGGGGGAGGGGGAGAAAGGAAAGUGGAAAUACAAAGAUGCCUUGGAAAGCUAAUUUGGUUCACAUUACAUUUCAGUCACCUGAGGUACAUGAGUCAACAUUUCAGAUGAUUCAGGCUUUCUGGGAGUCAGGAAGCCCAGUACUCAUUGGUUUGAUGUGCAGGAAUAAGCAUGACCCCCAUUCCACCUUUUCUGAGACAGGAGAGUUUAAAAAAAACAGUUGCAGAACACAUGAGAAUCAGGAUUCUGGGCCGGGCCCGGUGGCUCCCGCCUGUAAUCCAGCAUUUUGGGAGGCUGAGGUAGGGGCGGAUCACGAGGUUAGGAGUUCGAGACCAGCCUGACCAACAUGGUGAAACCCUGUCUCUACUAAAAAUACAAAAAUUAGCCGGAUGCGGUGGCGCCUGCCAGUAAUCCCGACUACUCAGGAGGAUGGGGCAGAAGAAUCCCUUGAACCUGGGAGGCGGAGGUUGUAGUAAGCUGAGAUCAUACCAUUGCAUUCCAGCUCUCCAUCCUGGGCAACAGAGCAAGACUCCGUCUCAAAAAAAAAAAAAAAAGAAUCAGGAUCCUUUUAUCUUUCUGAUUUACUUUUCAAAAAUGUUCUCUGCCUGACUACUCUGGAAGCCCUGGAGAGAAGAGGAUACCUUGCUUUCAAGUUGCUCAAAGUCUUAAUCAGUCUGUAGCCACAAGUAACCAGUGACUAAGAACCCAGAAACACAAUCAUCACAAGAAGUGCUGCAGUAUAUGACCUACCUGUGUCUUUGUUGAAACUCAUUUACAUUUGUUACUAAAAAGUUAUUGUCAUUUAGAAUUUUCAUUUUAUAUUCAUUUUAUUUAUUGUCCUGAGGAGGAUUUUUUCCUGUCAAGUGGUAAAGGAAAUGUUAAACAUUUAUGAAUAAAAUGUUAUUUAAUCUAAUGAGUUAAA